rnacentral:rRNA from 1 species
CCUACGGGAGGCAGCAGUGAGGAAUAUUGGUCAAUGGACGAGAGUCUGAACCAGCCAAGUAGCGUGCAGGAUGACUGCCCUAUGGGUUGUAAACUUCUUUUAUGUGGGAAUAAAAUGUUCCACGUGUGGGGUUUUGUAUGUACCAUAUGAAUAAGGAUCGGCUAACUCCGUGCCAGCAGCCGCGGUAAUACGGAGGAUCCGAGCGUUAUCCGGAUUUAUUGGGUUUAAAGGGAGCGUAGGCGGCUUGUUAAGUCUGCUGUGAAAGUUUGCGGCUCAACCGUGGAAUUGCAGUGGAAACUGGCAGGCUUGAGUGCAGUAGAGGUGGGCGGAAUUCGUGGUGUAGCGGUGAAAUGCUUAGAUAUCACGAAGAACUCCGAUUGCGAAGGCAGUACACGGGAGUGCAACUGACACUGAGGCUCGAAGGUGUGGGUAUCAAACAGGAUUAGAUACCCGAGUAGUC